ACGGCUUUAUUUGAACAGGAUGUGUUCUAUAGGCUCUUACUUCUGUAUCCUUAAGUACUAAGGAGACAAGCAACUAAAUCUGGUGGAUGAAUGAGGACCAUAGGAUCAGAGCAUGAUUAACGGCUGAGGUCUCUUGAAUAUCAAGGCUAUAGAGGAUUGUUCUCAGCUUGUUACAACCAGCUGGGGUGGUCUUACGGUUGUCUGCUAGACU